rnacentral:rRNA from 1 species
AAUGCCGGAUGCUCCAGUUGAUCGCAUGGUCUUCUGGGAAAGCUUUCGCGGUAUGGGAUGGGGUCGCGUCCUAUCAGCUUGACGGCGGGGUAACGGCCCACCGUGGCUUCGACGGGUAGCCGGCCUGAGAGGGCGACCGGCCACAUUGGGACUGAGAUACGGCCCAGACUCCUACGGGAGGCAGCAGUGGGGAAUAUUGCACAAUGGGCGCAAGCCUGAUGCAGCGACGCCGCGUGAGGGAUGGAGGCCUUCGGGUUGUAAACCUCUUUUAUCGGGGAGCAAGCGUGAGUGAGUUUACCCGUUGAAUAAGCACCGGCUAACUACGUGCCAGCAGCCGCGGUAAUACGUAGGGUGCAAGCGUUAUCCGGAAUUAUUGGGCGUAAAGGGCUCGUAGGCGGUUCGUCGCGUCCGGUGUGAAAGUCCAUCGCUUAACGGUGGAUCCGCGCCGGGUACGGGCGGGCUUGAGUGCGGUAGGGGAGACUGGAAUUCCCGGUGUAACGGUGGAAUGUGUAGAUA